rnacentral:rRNA from 1 species
GUUAAGUCAGAUGUGAAAGCCCGGGGCUCAACCUCGGAAUUGCAUUUGAAAACUGGCAAACUAGAGUACUGUAGAGGGGGUAGAAUUUCAGGUGUAGCGGUGAAAUGCGUAGAGAUCUGAAGGAAUACCGGUGGCGAAGGCGGCCCCCUGGACAGAUACUGACACUCAGAUGCGAAAGCGUGGGGAGCAAACAGGAUUAGAUACCCUGGUAG